rnacentral:rRNA from 1 species
UUCCAGACUCCUACGGGAGGCAGCAGUGGGGAAUGUUGCACAAUGGGGGGAACCCUGAUGCAGCGACGCCGCGUGGGUGAAGGAGCACCUCGGUGCGUAAAGCCCUAUCGGCAGGGAAGAAACAGACGGUACCUGACUAAGAAGCCCCGGCUAACUACGUGCCAGCAGCCGCGGUAAUACGUAGGGGGCAAGCGUUAUCCGGAUUCACCGGGUGUAAAGGGAGCGUAGACGGCGACGCAAGUCUGGAGUGAAAGCCCGGGGCCCAACCCCGGGACUGCUCUGGAAACUGCGUCGCUGGAGUACGGGAGGGGCAGGCGGAAUUCCUGGUGUAGCGGUGAAAUGCGUAGAUAUUAGGAGGAACACCAGUGGCGAAGGCGGCUUACUGGACUGUAACUGACGUUGAGGCUCGAAAGCGUGGGGAGCAAACAGGAUUAGAUACCCUAGUAGCG